rnacentral:rRNA from 1 species
UACGUAGGGUGCGAGCGUUGUCCGGAAUUAUUGGGCGUAAAGGGCGCGUAGGCGGCUUUGCAAGUCAAAGGUGAAAUCCCUCGGCUCAACUGAGGAACUGCCUUUGAAACUGUGAGGCUUGAGUCCGGGAGGGGUAGCGGAAUUCCAGUGUAGCGGUGAAAUGCGUAGAUAUUGGGAGGAACACCAGUGGCGAAGGCGGCUACCUGGACCGGAACUGACGCUGAUGCGCGAAAGCUAGGGAGCAAACGGG